rnacentral:lncRNA from 1 species
GUUUGCUGAUGGGGAGGGAGUCGUAUUAUAUAUCCCCAUGUGGCCAUAAACUUGCUGUGUUACAGGCUGGUCCGGCACUUGAAAGCUUCCUGCCCUGUCUCUGCUGUUAUUACAGACGUGGGUCAUCACACCUGGAUCUGAUGCCGCUUCUGACAUCAAUGUGUAUACAUGUAGACAUGUUUUCUCCUGGCAGGAAGCACGUGCUAUUUUACUACAGCAGUUCUCCAACACCAGUGAUCUUAGCUCAGGAGUUCUGAUGUCCUGGUGUUAGCCGAGAGCCCAAAAAUUAAGAUCUUAGUCUUAUAAGACGAAGUCCCCAUUCCAGACACUAGCCUGAAAUAGGGCAGUCAGAUGACUUCCCCGGCCCCUGUGUAUUCAUUCAUUCCCAUAACCACUUUCUCUAGUUUUUCAUAUAUAAAAUGUUUGAGGCUAGCCUGGAAUAUAGUGAGCCUUUCUCACUCACCCCCCCCCCC